rnacentral:ncRNA from 1 species
UGAUCAUCACAUUAAAAGGGAAUCAGGUUAAACACCUGAGCUGUUCCCGCAACUGUAAGCUUAUCUCAAAAAGAGAGGUUGUUGUUAAACUUCAUGCCACUGUGGUAACACGGGAAGGUAAACAACAGUACGCAAGCCAGGAGACCUGCCUUUAGUAUA